CUCUACAUAGCUCAGCUGGAAGAGCGCAAGACUGUAAUGUACGCUUCAACGCUAUCUUGAGGCCCGCGGUUCGAUCCCGCGUGUGGAGA
rfam:Rachicladosporium antarcticum strain CCFEE 5527 scaffold_30, whole genome shotgun sequence.